UUGUCGUGGUGGUAGGGCUCAGUAGUCACAUUUUUCUGUGGCGAAGCUAAGUAUCCCAGGCGGGUGAUUGCUAGAGAUCAUGGCCUUAGCCCAUAAAGUCUGAUCCGUGCUGCCCGAUUUCAGUAAAUCUGGUUCAAAGGAUGCCGUUAUCAGUCAUAUGCUUCAUGGAGUAGAGAAAUCCGAAAGGGUUGUUUCUCUGGGAAAUUUUCAUGGUAGAAGAUUUGGGACGUGAAAUAAGAGAAUGGGCCACCGCUGCCCUAGCGAGGACCACCUGAGCGAGUACGUUUUUACGACUGUCUUAACGUGCGAGCACGCGUUUUCGUUUUAUUUGAGAAAUAUCUUACUCACCCUGUAUAUAUAUGUACAUGUUCAUGGAGGGAACCAUGAGGGAACUAUAAUCAGAUAGUACCACAAUUCGACACGAUGUGGCAGCACUUAUUAGUCACUUGUAUGUGCAUGUGGAACAACUAUUAUAAAUAAAACCAAAUCGAAUUAAAAUUUAUAUCCAAGUGAAUCAAAUGAUUAUGUACGGGUAACAUGGUGUACCCUAAUUCAACAAAUUCUGUGACUCAGAAAUUAUGGAUGGAGAUAUCGACACACUACCCAUUAAAAUCGAACCCAAACAAGAAGAAGAAAUCCAUUCCUUUCUCCAGGGCCACGCUUCAGUAAGUAACGAAGUUUUGGUGACAGUAAAGAAUGAAAUUACCUCGAAAAUUACGAUUAGUACACCAUGUUCAAAAUCCCUUUAUAAUGAAGAAGUACAACACUCCAACUUUCGGCACCUUUUAACUUUUAAAACAGUGCCUAAAGAUUUUAAAUGUGCUGAUUGUGACUAUGAGACAAAUGUUAAAAAGUGCUUGAAACAACACCUUUUAACACAUAAAGUUUCUAAGGAUUUUA